GAUGAACGCUGGCGGCGUGCCUAAUACAUGCAAGUCGAGCGAACAGAUAAGGAGCUUGCUCCUUUGACGUUAGCGGCGGACGGGUGAGUAACACGUGGAUAACCUACCUAUAAGACUGGGCUAACUUCGGGAAACCGGAGCUAAUACCGGAUAACAUAUUGAACCGCAUGGUUCAAUAGUGAAAGGCGGCUUUGCUGUCACUUAUAGAUGGAUCCGCGCCGUAUUAGCUAGUUGGUAAGGUAACGGCUUACCAAGGCAACGAUACGUAGCCGACCUGAGAGGGUGAUCGGCCACACUGGAACUGAGACACGGUCCAGACUCCUACGGGAGGCAGCAGUAGGGAAUCUUCCGCAAUGGGCGAAAGCCUGACGGAGCAACGCCGCGUGAGUGAUGAAGGUCUUCGGAUCGUAAAACUCUGUUAUCAGGGAAGAACAAAUGUGUAAGUAACUGUGCACAUCUUGACGGUACCUGAUCAGAAAGCCACGGCUAACUACGUG
rnacentral:rRNA from 1 species